ACUGCGAGGUGUAACAGUUUUUCUGGGUGGCCCCGAGAUAAUGUUAGUAUUCAAUGGAGAUUGUUUAUUCCAUUUUUGUAGCUUUCAAUACGUUUGUUGUGAUGUGGUCCCCUUAUUUUUUGUGUAUUUAAUUUUUCCUUUAUGUUAUUGUGAAGGAUGAUUGAUGAAGUUGAUAUUGUGUUCAAUUAUGGGGGUAGUUGGGUCUUUUCACCUGAGUUGGUAUACAUUAAGAAGUUGGUGUACUCGUGGCUUUCUUUUGACCCUGAUUUGCUGAAUCAUAAGGAUGUAUGUGAUGAGUUUACUUCCAAGCUAGGGCUUUCUCAAGUAAAUUAAUUGCUAGUGACUAGGGCCCCUGGUAAUUAUUAUAUAGUUGAUGGGGAUGAUGGUAUUAGGGCCAUCCUCAGCCUAGUGUGUGAGCAAUAUAAAGUCAUCAACUUCUUUGUUGUGUUAGAGGGUGAGCUGACAGUCUUUACUCAACAUAUCACACACCAUACUGAAACUUAUUCAUUAGAUGUGGAGGUUGGUACAGACUGGGAACACAGUCUUGGUUCUGCUGAUGAAUAGGAUAUUUCUGAGGGUGAAGAGUAUGAUUAUGAGGAGUUGGAGGCUAUUAACAAGCAAAGGGGAUGGGUAGUAGGUGACAGGUUGGAAAACUAUAAGGAGUUGGAAGUAGGUCUGUCAUUUAAGGACAUGAAGGAAGGCAGGCAGGUUGUGAACUAUUAUGCAUUAGCUAACAAAAGGGUUUUGAUAAUAAUUAAGUUUGAUACUAGGAGAACUAGGUAUGGUUGUUAGGAAGGGUGUCCCUUUAGGUGUUUGAUUUCAAGAGAUGGUAAUAGUGAAGGGUUCAAGAUCAAAAUUUUCAUCAAUCAACACACAUAUGAUGAGGCCUAGGUGAAUCACAGAGGUGAUGCAGCCACUCUAGCUAAAUACUUUAAGAACAAGGUUCAAAAUAACCCCAAGUACUAAGUCAAAGACAUGAUAGAAGAGCUUGAAACUGAUUUUAGAUUGAAUAUGUCCCAAUCCAAAUUGAAAAAGGCUAAUUCUAUGGUUCUUGAGAAGUUGGAGGGUAGUUUUAUAGAUUUCCAUAACAAGCUUGAGGCCUAUGGGCAAGAGAAGACAAUCUAAUCCUAGAAGUGAUGUAGUGAUAAAUAUCUCCAAAGAUGCUCUAGAAGAAGAAAAAAGGAAAUUCUUGAGGAUGUACUUGUGCUUUAAUGCUUUGAAAAAAGCCUGGAAAUCUAGAUUGAGGCCACUAAUUGGCCUAGAUGGUACAUUCUUGAAAGGUAGAGUUAAGGGCAUCUUAUUGGUUGCACUAGGACGAGAUUCUAUGAACCAUUUCGAUAACUAGCAUGGGCAAUAAUGGACAAAGAAACCAGCAGGACAUGGAGUUGGUUCUGUGAGCUACUGAAAAGGUGUUUGGAGCUUAACGAUAGUGCUGGAAUUACAUUCAUUUCAGUUUUGCAAAAGGUAUAAUGUUAGUCCAUCUUGCAUGAAGUUGUACAGUGACUUCAGGGCCAUAACACAUAGUUAUAGGGUGGAAUUCAAUGGAGAUUGAGGGUAUAAGGUGUUUGAAGGUGAAGAUAGACACACUGUCAAUCUAGAGCAAAAAAGAUGCAGCCUGCAAACUUGUUGACAAAACUAAAAUCCAUUGGUGGAACAAUAAGGAAGCUUACAUGCUAACCUACAAACAUAAAAUGCAGCCUGUAAGCGGUCAAAGGUUCUGGAAGGUUAAAGAUUCGCAUGCAAUGUUGCCUCCUGCUGUUGUGAAACAAGUUGGUAGACCUAAAAUGAAGAGGAACAGGGAACCAGAUGAGGCAAUAAAGAGGAAGGGUGAGUGGUCCCAAUCCAUAAAGGGCACUCAAAUGACAUAUAGCAACUGUGGUGGACCAUAGCAUAAUGCAAGGGGUUGUUCCAGGGCCAAGUUUACUAGGAACUGGUCAAACUCAAGGCAGGGAAAAAGGCCACUGACUCAUAGUAGUUCACGGUCAAGAAUAGUUGGGGAUGCAGAUGAGAAUGGAACUGGUACAAAAGAGUCUGUUGUCCAAGCUGCAACACAAGAGUUUGAACCAUGUGGUCCUGAUGUUAGCAUUGAAAAAGACCCACCCUUAAGGUCAAUGGUGAUUACUGAAUCACAGAUUCGGUUAAGAAGAGAGAGAAGCCGAAGAGAAGAAGUGUUCCAACUGGUGUUCCAACUGGAACAAGACAAAUCCAGUUUACAGGAGAUCACAUUGGUGUUUCAGUUCCAACUAAUCUUCCUUACUCUCCAGUCAAGACAACUUGGAAAGAAAGAGAAGCACUAUCUUUUGGACAAGUGCAGAUAGAAUCAAAGAAGAGAAGGCUAAAAAUGAUGGGAGUUAAGGGCAGAGGAAUCCUUGCACCUGAUGAUGACUUUCUGUGAUUGUUUAGCAUUUUCUAUGUUAGUUUUUGUCUUAAUCCUCUGGUGGUUAAUUGCAUUUGGUUACAAACAAUAUUAACCUUUUUUGGCUUGGUUAAGCACCUAAUGAUUAAGUUUGGUAUAAUUUGAUAUGCCUUGGUUUAAUGGAAUAAUGAACACCUUCUUUUGGUUGUGUUUAUUUUAGUUGUAUUGUGAUUGUGGAACUGUCUUCUAGCAAUGAAUGAUCUGUUUUUAGUUGGUUAAAUGAAUGGCAUUUAAAGCUUGCUCUGAA